rnacentral:rRNA from 1 species
CAGCUAGUUGGUGGGGUAAUGGCCUACCAAGGCGACGACGGGUAGCCGGCCUGAGAGGGCGACCGGCCACACUGGGACUGAGACACGGCCCAGACUCCUACGGGAGGCAGCAGUGGGGAAUAUUGCACAAUGGGCGAAAGCCUGAUGCAGCGACGCCGCGUGAGGGAUGACGGCCUUCGGGUUGUAAACCUCUUUCAGCAGGGAAGAAGCGAAAGUGACGGUACCUGCAGAAGAAGCGCCGGCUAACUACGUGCCAGCAGCCGCGGUAAUACGUAGGGCGCAAGCGUUGUCCGGAAUUAUUGGGCGUAAAGAGCUCGUAGGCGGCUUGUUGCGUCGGUUGUGAAAGCCCGGGGCUUAACCCCGGGUCUGCAGUCGAUACGGGCAGGCUAGAGUGUGGUAGGGGAGAUCGGAAUUCCUGGUGUAGCGGUGAAAUGCGCAGAUAUCAGGAGGAACACCGGUGGCGAAUGCCGAUCUCUGGGCCAUUACUG